rnacentral:rRNA from 1 species
CGUGUAGGCGGUUUGUUAAGUCUGAUGUGAAAGCCCCGGGCUCAACCUGGGAAGUGCAUUGGAUACUGGCAGACUUGAAUACGGGAGAGGGUAGUGGAAUUCCUGGUGUAGGAGUGAAAUCCGUAGAUAUCAGGAGGAACACCGGUGGCGAAGGCGGCUACCUGGACCGAUAUUGACGCUGAGACGCGAAAGCGUGGGGAGCAAAACAGGAUUAGAUACCCUGGUAGUCCACGCCGUAAACGAUGAGUACUAGGUGUUGCGGGUAUUGACCCCUGCAGUGCCGCAGCUAACGCAUUAAGUACUCCGCCUGGGAAGUACGGUCGCAAGACUAAA